UACGGAGGGUGCGAGCGUUAUCCGGAUUCACUGGGUUUAAAGGGUGUGUGGGCGGGCAGAUAAGUCAGUGGUGAAAUCCCCGAGCUUAACUUGGGAACUGCCAUUGAUACUAUUUGUCUUGAAUGUCGUGGAGGUUAGCGGAAUAUGUCAUGUAGCGGUGAAAUGCUUAGAUAUGACAUAGAACACCCAUUGCGAAGGCAGCUAACUACGCGAAUAUUGACGCUGAGGCACGAAAGCGUGGGGAUCAAACAGG
rnacentral:rRNA from 1 species